rnacentral:rRNA from 1 species
AUGGGCUCAAAAUCUAUCCCCACCACUCGCAUAUGUGCCAAGACCGGCGGCCGACGCGCCUACCCGUGCCAGAUUCUUCGAGGAUGGGUGGAACAGCAAGCGAUGGCAUGGAUUUGGAGGAGGAGGAUGAUGGGGGGACUGCGGCCGAUGGAAUGGUUGUGGUCGUUGUCUGGGCGGAGGAGGGGGAAGGGAGCAGCAGUCGGCGACGUGGAUGUACGGGGAGCUCUAGGCCUGGCUGCAUAUGCCGAACAGCCAAAGGAGGAGGAAACACAAGCUUGGCUGCAGCCGAGAGUGGACGGAGGAGGAAGCACAAGAAGGGAAGGGGAAGGGAGCAGCGGCCGGCUUCGUGGCUCCGUUUGCUGUGGUCUGGGCGCGCGCGGAGGAAUGGGAAGUGAGCUCAGGACUUCGCUGUUGAUUGUGAGGAAGCACGGGCGGUCGGCGGCAUUUAGGUUGGGUCUAAUUAGGGAGGCUAUUGCUACAACUAUUUAA